AGUUCUCUUGAUAAAAAUUUGCUUAAGAGAAUUGUCAAUCUUAAAUACCUGUAAGUCAGUAUUUAAAACAGUUAUUACAUAAGAUUUAGCGAAUUACAAGUUGCAAUGUUUCUAUAAUCGGUAAUAACUUAAAGGAGGUUUAACGAUAAUGGUGUUGUUUCUGUGGAAAAAGGAGCCUUUGAACCACUUGACGAAUUAAAAAAUAGCAAGGGAGUUAUCGGCCUUAACACCUGUAUGUAGAUAGUUGCCAACUAAUGCAAUUAUUCUAGACUUAGCCACAGUAUGUUAACCUUGCUGGUAAGGACUCGUUUAAGAAACUUGUUAACCUAGAACACUUGCGACCUGUUUCUAAUAAAUUAAACUUUCUUUCUUCGACUUUUUUGCUGGACUUAAAGACUUGGCAUCAUUGUGAGUUAUUUCGUGC